rnacentral:rRNA from 1 species
UACGUAGGGCGCAAGCGUUAUCCGGAAUUAUUGGGCGUAAAGAGCUCGUAGGCGGUGUGUCACGUCGAUCGUGAAAACUUGGGGCUUAACUCUGAGCUUGCGGUCGAUACGGGCAUCACUGGAGUUCGGCAGGGGAGACUGGAAUUCCUGGUGUAGCGGUGAAAUGCGCAGAUAUCAGGAGGAACACCGGUGGCGAAGGCGGGUCUCUGGGCCGAUACUGACGCUGAGGAGCGAAAGCGUGGGGAGCGAACAGG